CAAUACACAAGAAGAGAAGAAGAAGAACACCGAGGGAUCUCUCUACAUAAACCUGAACAAAAACUGAGCACGACUGCUCAUCAGGCCAGCUCCCAAGAUCGAUCGAUCAAUGGACUCGCUCACUAAGCUAGUGCGAACUGUUUGCAGAGACAGAAAGCAAUGGCACGAGCACGCGAGCCUGCUGUGCGAGAGACGCGAGUGCAGAGAGUUGCUGGCGGC
rnacentral:lncRNA from 1 species